UACAGAGGGUGCGAGCGUUAAUCGGAAUUACUGGGCGUAAAGCGCGCGUAGGCGGCUUUGCAAGUCGGGUGUGAAAUCCCCAGGCUUAACCUGGGAACUGCAUUCGAGACUGCAUUGCUAGAGUAUGGGAGAGGGAAGUGGAAUUUCCGGUGUAGCGGUGAAAUGCGUAGAUAUCGGAAGGAACAUCAGUGGCGAAAGCGACUUCCUGGACCAAUACUGACGCUGAGACGCGAAAGCGUGGGGAGCGAACAGG
rnacentral:rRNA from 1 species